UACGAAGGGGGCUAGCGUUGCUCGGAAUCACUGGGCGUAAAGCGCACGUAGGCGGACUCUUAAGUCGGGGGUGAAAUCCUGGAGCUCAACUCCAGAACUGCCUUCGAUACUGGGAGUCUUGAGUUCGGGAGAGGUGAGUGGAACUGCGAGUGUAGAGGUGAAAAUUCGUAGAUAUUGGGAGGAACACCAGUGGCGAAGGCGGCUCACUGGACCGGUACUGACGCUGAUGCGCGAAAGCGUGGGGAGCAAAUGGGAUUAGAAACCCCUGGUA
rnacentral:rRNA from 1 species